UACGGGGGGGGCAAGCGUUGUUCGGAAUUACUGGGCGUAAAGGGUUCGUAGGUGGCCAACUAAGUCAGACGUGAAAUCCCUCGGCUCAACCGGGGAACUGCGUCUGAUACUGGUUGGCUUGAGUGCAGGAGAGGAACGCGGAAUUCCAGGUGUAGCGGUGAAAUGCGUAGAUAUCUGGAGGAACACCGGUGGCGAAGGCGGCGUUCUGGACUGCAACUGACACUGAGAUACGAAAGCGUGGGGAGCAAACAGG
rnacentral:rRNA from 1 species